CUUCCACCAGAAUGUCAUCCCCAUGAUGGCAGGGACCAUGUCACAUUUUUAACCUUUGCAUUUUCAGCCUGAGGUAUGUGCUGGCAUGUAGAGCGCACUUAAGAAAUAUUUGUUGAAUCCCUCGAAACAUUAUUUCCUUCUAUCUCCAGUCUGCAUUCAAAGUGCCUCACUUCAAGCCCUCUCUUGCCAUCAGCCUGAAUCUCUGGGUUCGCCUGCCCUUGUGCCCACCAUUCUGCAAGAGCUGGGCUCAGAAUAAUCCUCCUGAAUUUGCCCCUCCUAUUACUGGAAUUCUGAGCACCACUGAGAAAAUACAACAACUGUGAAGCAUUAUUCGCAAUUCCCAAGACAUGGAAGCAACCCAAGUGCCCUUCAACAGAUGAAUGGAUAAAGAAAACAUGGUAGAUAUACAUAUAUAUAAUGGAAUACUACUCAGCCAUAAAAAUGACAAAAUUGUGCCAUUUGCAACAAUACGGAUAGACCUUGAGGGUGUUAUGCUAAGCGAAACAAGUCACACAGAGAAAGACACAUACUGUGUGAUUUCGCUCAUAUGAGGAAGAUAAACAAACAAACACAUAGGUAAGGAGAACGUAUUAGUCGUUAACGGAGGAAAAGGGAGUAGAGGAGGGCAAAAGGGGUGAAGGGAGACGUGUAUGGUGACAGAUAAAAACUACACAGAAACUGAAAUAUAAUAAUGUACACCUGAAAUUUACACAACAUUAGAAGCCAAUGUGACCUCAAUAAAAGAAAAAAGAAAUGUCAGACAGAGAAAGACAAAUACUGUAUGAUCUCACUCACAUGUGGAAUCUAAAAAAACAAACAAAAACCAAACUCAUUGAAAAAAAGAUCAAACUUCUGGUCACCAGAGGCAGAGGGUUGGUGGGGGGGAGAAUUGGGUGAAGGCAGUGAAGAGGUACAAACUUCCAGCCAUAAGAGAAAUUAGUACUGGGGAUGUAAUGUACAACAUGAUGGCUGUAGUUAACACUGCUGUAUGUUGUAUUUGAAAGUUGCUGAGCGAGUAAAUCCUAAAAGUUAUCAUCACAAGGAAAAAAAUUUUUUUGUAUCUGUAUGAGGCAAUGGAUGUUAACUAAACUUAUUGUGAUAGUUAUUUCACACUAUAUGAAAGUCAAGUCAUUAUGCU
rnacentral:lncRNA from 1 species